rnacentral:snRNA from 1 species
GUGCGCUUUGGCAGUAUAUAUACUAAAAUUGGAACGAUACAGAGAUGAUUAGCGUGGCCCCUGUGCAAGGAUGACACGCAAAUUCGUGAAGUGUUCCAUAUUUUU